rnacentral:rRNA from 1 species
GAUGAACGCUGGCGGCGUGCCUAAUACAUGCAAGUCGAGCGAACAGACGAGGAGCUUGCUCCUCUGACGUUAGCGGCGGACGGGUGAGUAACACGUGGAUAACCUACCUAUAAGACUGGGAUAACUUCGGGAAACCGGAGCUAAUACCGGAUAAUAUAUUGAACCGCAUGGUUCAAUAGUGAAAGCCGGUUUUGCUGUCACAUAUAGAUGGACCCCCGCCGCAUUAGCUAGUUGGGAAGGUAACGGCUUACCAAGGCAACGAUGCGUAGCCGACCUGAGAGGGUAAUCGGCCACACUGGAACUGGGACACGGCCCAGACUACUACGGGAGGCAACAGUAGGGAAUCUUCCGCAAUGGUCGAAGGCCUGACGGAGCAACGCCGCGUGAGUGAUGAGGGUCUUCGGAUCGUAAAACUCUGUUAUUAGGGAAGAACAAAUGUGUAAGUAACUAUGCACGUCUUGACGGUACCUAGUCAGAAAGCCACGGCUAACUACGUG